rnacentral:misc_RNA from 1 species
UCCCCGUUAACCAGGGCAGUUGCGUCUGAAAAAUUUAACAGACGCCGAGGGUUGCGCUCGUUGCGGGACUUAACCCAACAUUUCACAACACGAGCUGACGACAGCCAUGCAACACCUGUCUCCAGGCUCCCUUGCGGGCACCCCAACCUUUCGGUCGGGUUCCUGGGAUGUCAAGCCUUGGUAAGGUUCUUCGCGUACCAUCGAAUUAAACCGCAUGUUCCACCACUUGUGCGGGACCCCGUCUAUUCCUUUAUGUUUUAAGCUUGCGCUCGUACUACACAGGCGGGAUGCUUAACGCGUUAGCUUCGCUUCCGAAGGGGUCGAAUCCUCCAAAAGCUAGCAUCCAUCGUUUAGGGUGUGGACUAC